AUUGAACGCUGGCGGCAGGCCUAACACAUGCAAGUCGAGCGGAUGAAGGGAGCUUGCUCCUGGAUUCAGCGGCGGACGGGUGAGUAAUGCCUAGGAAUCUGCCUGGUAGUGGGGGAUAACGUCCGGAAACGGGCGCUAAUACCGCAUACGUCCAGAGGGUGAAAGUGGGGGAUCUUCGGACCUCACGCUAUCUGAUGAGACUAGGUCGGAUUAGCUAGUUGGUGGGGUAAAGGCCUACCAAGGCGACGAUCCGUAACUGGUCUGAGAGGAUGAUCAGUCACACUGGAACUGAGACACGGUCCAGACUCCUACGGGAGGCAGCAGUGGGGAAUAUUGGGCAAUGGGCGAAAGCCUGAUCCAGCCAUGCCGCGUGUGUGAAGAAGGUCUUCGGAUUGUAAAGCUCUUUAAGUUGGGAGGAAGGGAAGUAAGUUAAUCCCUUGCUGUUUUGACGUUACCAACAGAAUAAGCACCGGCUAACUUCGUG
rnacentral:rRNA from 1 species